AACGAACGCUGGCGGCAGGCCUAAAACAUGCAAGUCGAACGCCCCGCAAGGGGAGUGGCGCACGGGUGAGUAACGCGUGGGAACGUGCCCCUUAGUACGGGACAACGUCGGGAAACUGACGCUAAUACCGUAUAAUAUCUCCGGAUCAAAGAUUUAUCGCUGAGGGAGCGGCCCGCGUCUGAUUAGCUAGUUGGUGAGGUAAAGGCUCACCAUGGCUACGAUCAGUAGCAGGUCUGAGAGGAUGAUCUGCCACACUGGGACUGAGACACGGCCCAGACUCCUACGGGAGGCAGCAGUUAGGAAUAUUGGACAAUGGGGGAAACCCUGAUCCAGCCAUGCCGCGUGUGUGACGAAGGCCCUAGGGUUGUAAAGCACUUUCGUUGGGGAUGAUAAUGACCGUACCCAAAGAAGAAGCCACGGCUAAAUUCGUGCCAGCCGCCGCCGUAA
rnacentral:rRNA from 1 species